CUUGGGGCUUUUUGCCUUCAUUGGACAGGACAGCUUGAGACACAUUAAAUGCAGAGAGAAUGGCAGACUGAUAUGCACCAAAUCAUGUCAGGAUUGGGACUCAAUCCUUCGACUGAUGCAUCAAGGACUACAGCAGGGCAGCAGUUCCAAUCUCAAAUGCCUCUCCCGUACAGCAGGCAGCAGUGUUUCUUUAAAGGCACAGGACCAGGUGCUCCAAAAGUUUAUCAGUGAAUUCACCUGGAGAUGGAGAGGGAGAAGAAGACAACACACAGGAAAACAUAACUGCAGCUCAAGAUUAUUGAACUCCUGAGGAAAAACUUCAAACUGCAGUGGAGUCGACACAGCAUGACCCCAGGCGUUGAAGUUAUACCACAUCACCUAAUGACAACAACUGACCAGACUAUGGCCGCUACAGGAAUGCUGACAUGUUGACAGUUUUCCAUGUGGACACCAUCAGCUCCAGAAAAGCACCCGACACAUUUACAGUUCAUACAGCACAUCCAGACAAGUCUGAAUCAAUCUGGAUCCCCCACUAAAGACGAGCAGUGCACACCUGAGCUGAAGUGGAUUCAGACAGAGUGAGUCCCAGCUGUCCUGCACAUCUGACAGGCUCUGAGUGUCGGGCUGUCAGGCCGGUGUUAGUCGAGCUAAAUGGUCGUGAAAACUGAACGGGGCAGCUGCCAUCACUCAAAACCCUGAAAUGUGUCUCCUCUUCUGCUGCUAACCUGAUAUCAUGAUCUCCACCUGUCAGCACACACAGUCUGCAACGUUCAAUCAGAACAUCAUCAGGGACAGGAGAGUCCUCACAGAGGCCGACUCCAUCUUUGUUUUAAUUAGACAAUCAGACAGACAAAAGGACAAAAAGACAGCAGAAGACGAGAGAAAAGCAGGUGGAUGAGCAACAGACGAGAGGAGGAAGAGACGGAGUCAUCAGCAGAAGAAUCACUGCGGUGGAUGUCUGGAGGCUCUAACUCUCUUACGCACACGUGCACACCACUCAAAUGUCAAACGCAAUUUGUUGACAAGAUGAGAGAAAGGGCAGCAGCAACAAGCGUGCAAAGAUCUGUUUUCCUCCUUUUCUCUUCGGAUCCCUCCCUCUGAGCCGCAGCAUCCUGACAUAUCGACAUCUAACAGGCCGGCUGUGACGCUGCUCUCACACCACUGCUGCAGAUUUACUGAAACACGCCGGGAAGGACAGCGGGAGAACUUUAAACUACAAGAAGUCUGAUAAAGCACAGCGUGAUAACUGCACAUUAGCAAAAAGCAUACACACACAGUAAGAGGCCAGCUGGUACAGACAGUGAAGGACUCAGCAGCUACAGUCACAGAUAUAUUCCUGAUGGGGGGAAGGCUUCUGUGCUGGGCGAGGGGGGAGGGAGAGGAGUCUAUGAAGGCAGGAUGUGACAUCAGAAGCAGGCUGCUAAAACCACAGUGUGAUGUUUGCAAUGAAGCAACAGAGACCUACACAGUGACGGCAGCUUUUAUCUUUAUAUCAAAGCUACAAGUCAACAUGCAGACCAAACUAAUGAUUUCAAGAAGGUUGUAGGAGUUUUGUGCACGAGUGAAUACAGCUUCUGUGUCUUGAUCAUAGUUUAAAGUUAUAUUUUUUGGGAGCUGGAGAGAGACGGGAAAUGUGGGGAGCAGAGAGAGAGGGAGGACAUGCAGCAAAUGGUUGAGGCUGGAAUCGAACCUGCAACCUCUGUGACAAGAUCUAUGGCCUCUGCACAUGGGGCGCCGCUCAGACCACUAGGCCAACGCUGCCCGUCUUGAUCAUAGCUGAUCCAAACAGAUAACUCCCCCCGUCCUGCAUGUAUUUGAUUUAUGCUAAACUUAACAUCAUGGUGUGUAAAGUAAAAUCACUGCAACUAAAGUGACAAGGUAGGUAAUUUAGUUCAGGGGUUCCCAAAGUGUGGGUCGGGACCCCCUGGGGGGUCGCAAGACACAAAUGGAGGGUCGU